rnacentral:rRNA from 1 species
AUUGAACGCUGGCGGCAGGCUUAACACAUGCAAGUCGAGCGGAGAUGAGGUGCUUGCACCUUAUCUUAGCGGCGGACGGGUGAGUAAUGCUUAGGAAUCUGCCUAUUAGUGGGGGACAACAUUCCGAAAGGAAUGCUAAUACCGCAUACGUCCUACGGGAGAAAGCAGGGGAGCUUCGGACCUUGCGCUAAUAGAUGAGCCUAAGUCGGAUUAGCUAGUUGGUGGGGUAAAGGCCUACCAAGGCGACGAUCUGUAGCGGGUCUGAGAGGAUGAUCCGCCACACUGGGACUGAGACACGGCCCAGACUCCUACGGGAGGCAGCAGUGAGGAAUAUUGGACAAUCGGGGAAACCCUGAUCCAGCCAUGCCGCGUGUGUGAAGAAGGCCUUAUGGUUGUAAAGCACUUUAAGCGAGGAGGAGGCUACUGAGACUAAUACUCUUGGAUAGUGGACGUUACUCGCAGAAUAAGCACCGGCUAACUCUGUGCCAGCAGCCGCCGUAA